rnacentral:rRNA from 1 species
AUUUAAAGAGCCGCGGUAUUUUGACCAUCCAAAGGUAGCAUAAUCAUUAGUUUCUUAAUUAGAGGCUUGAAUGAAUGGUUUAACAGAGAAAUUAACUGUCUCUUAAUAAAUUUUAGAAUUUAACUUUUAAGUUAAAAGGCUUUAAAUAUUUCUUUAGGACGAGAAGACCCUAUAGAGCUUGACAUUUAUAAAUUUUAUAUUAUUUUAGGUUAUCUUUUUAUGUAAGUUUUUUAAUGUUUGGUUGGGGUGACAUGAAGAAUAAUUAAACUCUUCAUUAUAAAAUCAUUGAUUUAUGUUCAUUUGAUCCAUAAUUUAUGAUCAAAAGAUUAAGUUACCUUAGGGAUAACAGCGUAAUCAUUUUUGAGAGUUCAUAUCGACAAAAUGGAUUGCGACCUCGAUGUUGGAUUAAGAUUAAUUUUAGGUGUAGUA